GGGGGAUAGCUCGGGGAAACUCGAAUUAAUACCGCAUACGUCCUACGGGAGAAAGGGGGCAACUUGUUGCUCUCGCUAUUAGAUGAGCCUAAGUCGGAUUAGCUAGUUGGUGGGGUAAAGGCCUACCAAGGCGACGAUCUGUAGCUGGUCUGAGAGGAUGAUCAGCCACACCGGGACUGAGACACGGCCCGGACUCCUACGGGAGGCAGCAGUGGGGAAUAUUGGACAAUGGGGGAAACCCUGAUCCAGCCAUGCCGCGUGUGUGAAGAAGGCCUUUUGGUUGUAAAGCACUUUAAGCAGUGAAGAAGACCUAACGGUUAAUACCCGUUAGCGAUGACAUUAGCUGCAGAAUAAGCACCGGCUAACUCUGUGCCAGCAGCCGCGGUAAUACAGAGGGUGCAAGCGUUAAUCGGAAUUACUGGGCGUAAAGCGAGCGUAGGUGGCUUGAUAAGUCAGAUGUGAAAUCCCCGGGCUUAACCUGGGAACUGCAUCUGAUACUGUCAGGCUAGAAUAGGUGAGAGGAAGGUAGAAUUCCAGGUGUAGCGGUGAAAUGCGUAGAGAUCUGGAGGAAUACCGAUGGCGAAGGCAGCCUUCUGGCAUCAUAUUGACACUGAGGUUCGAAAGCGUGGGUAGCAAACAGGAUUAGAUACCCUGGUAGUCCACGCCGUAAACGAUGUCUACUAGUCGUUGGGUCCCUUGAGGACUUAGUGACGCAGCUAACGCAAUAAGUAGACCGCCUGGGGAGUACGGCCGCAAGGUUAAAACUCAAAUGAAUUGACGGGGGCCCGCA
rnacentral:rRNA from 1 species